UAUAAUUAAAACCUGACUUUUCCUUUUUUUUCCAAACAGAUGGGAAAAAUCAAAACAUUAAGUAGCUUCACUCUCACCACUGGGCUUUUUAGAAGCUCUAAGCUGCUGGAUGACAGCUAGGUUUUUGGCUGGAUUCUUCUCAUUGCGAUUGGUCCUUGUAGCUCCAAAGGCAUGAGAAGGAGGAGCUGCACAUCUCCCUUCAGCCUGCCCCACUUGUUUUCUCUUCUGCUCAGUUAGCAAGCUUCACUCAAAGUAGGUUAAUGUUUCCAAUGCACAGCAGGCUCCCAAACCAAAGCUUGAUCUUUGUUUUAAUGUUUUAAGCUGUCAGCAGUCAUCCAUUCAAGGCUCUGGGGACCUUGGACCUGGACACUGAUUGAAGACUCUGCCAUAACUGGGAUGCCUCCAACCAUCGGACUGCUGGUGGCAAAGAGAAAAGGCAUGCAGUGUGGAAGCAGCAGAUAACAAUGUCAACUGCAUGCCAGAAACACAAGUCUGGGAUGGAGAAACAGUUUCUAUGAUAUUAUAGCCAGAACACUGCACAACUGAGGAAUGCAUCCAGCAUGUGAUGAAGGAGUGAAUCUGAUCACGGGGAUGAAUAUAUACAGGUACUUACAAAAUGAUUUGCUCAUUCUCAGCUUUUCUCACUUUUGAUGUAAUAUUUUCCCAGAUACUCUUUUUAAUCUCAAAUUUUAGUCUUUAGAAAUAUUGUGUUUUCACUAAUAUUGUGAAUAUAACCAUUCUUCUUUUACAUAUUACUGUGCAUAGGAUGUGUACUAUAUCAGCGCAGUGCUUUCUUUUUUUUUUAAUGAUGUGGACUAUAUUGAAUAUUGAAAUAUUUGUCAUAGUUAGAUGAAUAAUA